GCGGCCCGUCCCUUGUUCCAGGUGGAUGUGUUCUCCUUCGGCAUCGUGCUCUGUGAGGUUCUGGCCCGGAUCUCUGCCGACCCAGAGAUGCUCCCCAGGACACAGGACUACGGGCUGGACGUGGAGGCCUUCAGGCAGCUGGUGGACGACUGUCCUCAGCGUCUCCUGGAGCUCGCCGCCAGCUGCUGCAUGGUGGAGUCCUUCCGGCGGCCGGCGUUCACUGAGCUGCUGGAUGAGUUGGAAGAAGUCUCAGAGAGUCUGGAGCCGCCGCCGCCAUCCAACGCCACC